GACGAACGCUGGCGGCGUGCUUAACACAUGCAAGUCGAACGGAAAGGCUCCAGCUUGCUGGAGUACUCGAGUGGCGAACGGGUGAUUAACACGUGGGUGAUCUGCCCUGCACUUCGGGAUAAGCCUGGGAAACUGGGUCUAAUACCGGAUAGGACCGCACUUUGGUGUGUGUGGUGGAAAGGUUUUUCUGGUGGGGGAUGAGCUCGCGGCCUAUCAGUUUGUUGGUGGGGUAAUGGCCUACCAAGACGGCGACGGGUAGCCGGCCUGAGAGGGUGGACGGUCACAUUGGGACUGAGAUACGGCCCAGACUCCUACGGGAGGCAGCAGUGGGGAAUAUUGCACAAUGGGGGAAACCCUGAUGCAGCGACGCCGCGUGGGGGAUGAAGGCCUUCGGGUUGUAAACUCCUUUCGCUAGGGACGAAGCUUUUUGUGACGGUACCUGGAGAAGAAGCACCGGCUAACUACGUG
rnacentral:rRNA from 1 species